UUCAGUAGACUUCAAUCGACCUUCCUCUCGAUUUCUUCUUCGUUCCUUCUUGUUUCUUCUCUUUUGCGAUUUCAAUCCAUCACCCCGCCAACUCUCUCGUUUCUUAAUCGAUUUUGUUGAUUCAAAGUUCUAUUUCACUCGAUUUUGGCUCAAGAAUUCAUCUGUAUCACUCUCACUCUCUUUCUAUUUUCCCGACUUUCUCUUCGUCUCUCUCCCUCUCUCUCUUUUGGCGAGUGUCGAUGGAAGAAAGCGGAACAAUUAAAUUCAUUCCACCGGCAGCAUCGGUUCAUCAAAUCCGUCGCUAUCAUCAGCUCUGUGGUUUUAGGGUUGAUCAAAGCCAUCGUUAUCAUCAAAUCCUUAUGUUGAUCAAAUUCGACGUUAUCAUCAAAAAUCCCUGGUUAAAUGAUGCAUCAAUCUGUUUGUGUUGGUUAACUUACAAUUUGAUCCGAAUGCAAGCUCAGAUAAGGUACUCUCUUCUUGUGAUCAGUUUUAUUGAGGAGGAAAAUCCCGGAAACGCUGCAGCUGCUCUUAUGGCCCGUCGUGAAACUGAUCAGUCUUAGGGAAAGGAGCAUCAUGUCAAAAACUUGUCAUGGUUCAGUUUCAGUUGUAGUUUAUAGAGAUCAAGAAAACCCCGCGCUGAUCACUUAUCCAGACGUAACACUAAACUAUUUGUCGUGUUUCCAAGGAUUGUUUCUCUGCCCUGAAGCAGUCUCCUGAUUGAUCUGUCUUACUGUGUCUCUAUCCCAAAAGGAGAAACAUUUACUAAGCUUACUUGGGUAGGAAGAGAUUACGAUUUACAUGGACGAUGAUCAUUUGUUCAAUCGGGUAGUUUCGGAAAAAACCGAUGUCUACGGCUUUGGAAUUUUCAUGCAAAAGCUUCUGGCAGGAGAAGAAAUAUUUGAAGAGCUUUGUGGUUGGAAGAACUGGUGAGGCAAAAACAAAGUGCCAAAAAUGUUGUCUGAAUCCAUGAGCGAGGGAUGCAUGGAUGAGAUCGUCGAUCCAAAGAUGCUAGUGGAUAAAGUUUCAGAAGAAGAGCGUUACCGAAUGGAAUUUUUCCUUAACCUCUCAGAAAGAUGCAUCGGUCUUAGAGGGGAAGUUCCAAAAAUGCUUCAAGUCGCCAAAGAACUAAAGAUGUCAGAAAGAUAUCAUUACUUAACCUCUCAGAAAGAUGUCGUUACUUUUCUUUAGGCUUGGGGGUGUAUCUUUGAGUCUGCAUACUAUACAUUCAUACAUACAAUAUAAGAAGUGAUACAAAAGAGUCACUA